rnacentral:rRNA from 1 species
UACGGGGGGAGCAAGCGUUGUUCGGAUUUACUGGGCGUAAAGGGCGCGUAGGCGGCCACCGCAAGUCGACUGUGAAAUCUCCGGGCUUAACCCGGAAAGGUCAGCCGGUACUGCGGGGCUAGAGUGCAGAAGGGGCAACUGGAAUUCUCGGUGUAGCGGUGAAAUGCGUAGAUAUCGAGAGGAACACCUGCGGCGAAGGCGGGUUGCUGGGCUGACACUGACGCUGAUGCGCGAAAGCUAGGGGAGCGAACGGG